rnacentral:rRNA from 1 species
GAUGAACGCUGGCGGCGUGCCUAAUACAUGCCAGUCGAGCGAACGGACGCGAAGCUUGCUUUUCUGAUGUUAGCGGCGGACGGGUGAGUAACACGUGGAUAACCUACCUAUAAGACUGGGAUAACUUCGGGAAACCGGAGCUAAUACCGGAUAAUAUUUUGAACCGCAUGGUUCAAAAGUGAAAGACGGUCUUGCUGUCACUUAUAGAUGGAUCCGCGCUGCAUUAGCUAGUUGGUAAGGUAACGGCUUACCAAGGCAACGAUGCAUAGCCGACCUGACAGGGUGAUCGGCCACACUGGAACUGAGACACGGUCCAGACGCCUACGGGAGGCAGCAGUAGGGAAUCUUCCGCAAUGGGCGAAAGCCUGACGGAGCAACGCCGCGUGAGUGAUGAAGGUCUUCGGAUCGUAAAACUCUGUUAUUAGGGAAGAACAUAUGUGUAAGUAACUGUGCACAUCUUGACGGUACCUAAUCAGAAAGCCACGGCUAACUACGUG